UACGAGGGGGGCAAGCGUUGUUCGGAAUUAUUGGGCGUAAAGGGCGCGUAGGCGGUGCGGUAAGUCUGUUGUGAAAUCUCCGGGCUCAACUCGGAGCUUGCAUCAGAAACUGCCGUGCUUGAGUGUGGGAGAGGUGAGUGGAAUUCCCGGUGUAGCGGUGAAAUGCGUAGAUAUCGGGGAGGAACACCUGUGGCGAAAGCGGCUCACUGGACCACAACUGACGCUGAUGCGCGAAAGCUAGGGGAGGCAAACAGGG
rnacentral:rRNA from 1 species